GGUGAUGUGAUUAUUCCUGGGACACAUGUAAGUACUCACUUUUCUUUACCACUCAUAUUCAUUUUCUUCUAGAGCUUUAAGGAUGAUCCAGCCUGCUUCUGAUACCACUGGCACCACCACUUCUGACACCACCCUCUUCAUCACCUUGGCUUUGCUCUUCCUAGAGUGGGAUAGAACUGUUUGGCUUUCAGGAGACCUCUCCAAAGUGGAUCUGGCCAUGGGCAAAGAAAGAAAGCAGUCUGUGUACAUUAUGCGACGGGAGUAUAAGGUAUAUGGGGCAGAGGAUCGGGAGCUUGGGCCAAGGAUAUGUGCAUUUCCUAGAAAGCAUUGCCUGAAAGUUUUCAACAAUAGGUUAAGGAGCUUAGACUGGGUCUUGAGAGUAAUAUGGGGCCAAUGGAGAGAUGGUGGGCAUAGGAGUAGAGAGGAAAACAAGGUGGCUACAACAGAAGGGCUGGAUUAGAAAAAAGCAGGAAGUGGCGGGGGGUGGUGGUGGUGGGAGGUUGGGGUACCAGGUGGUGGGUAUUAUAGAGGGCACAGAUUGCAUGGAGCACUGGGUGUGGUGAAAAAAUAAUGAAUACUGUUAUGCUGAAAAUUAAAAAAAAAUGGUAAAAGAAAAAAGAAAGAAAGAAAGAAGCAGGAAUGAGAGCCUUGGUUAGAUGCUUCCAAUACCGUCUGGAUGACACCGAGGAAGACAGUGGUAAUGGGCCUGCGCAGAGAGAAUGGCGAGAUCUCCGAAGAAGAGCAUGGUCUGCCCAGGUAGUGGAUAGAAAUCACAACAACACAUACUUUAGGACAAAAUGCUACUGUCCUGUAAUAGAAUAGAUCCCUGUUUCACACGGCUAGACCUCCUAGCCUUCUCUCUCCUUCAUGAUUUUUCUCUCCUUCCUGUCAACAGGCAAUCCAGUUCCCACAUGAGUGGUUCCUCUCCCUUCUCUUCAGCAGACACUGGGGAACCGUUCCUUGAAAGCAAGAUGCCACAGAUAAGCUCACAGCUGGCUUGAUACCAGUGGGAGGGCUCCUCUGAGCUCCCCCAUUGAAACACCUGCUUCUGUCAGCCGCAGACCCGGUCCCCUGAAGACACCCUGGGAACCGUGUCCCAGAGCCUCCUCCCAGCUGUUAUCUUGACACAAUCAUUGUGUUCUGGGUUUUUAAUCUGGGAGAUUAAAUCUUUACAUGCCUGAGUGGAAAGAUCAUAUCCUUGUAAUUUUUCACCUAUAAAAUUUCUCAGCUGCCUUAGUUUAAC
rnacentral:lncRNA from 1 species